rnacentral:rRNA from 1 species
GGUGAACGCUGGCGGCGUGCCUAAUACAUGCAAGUCGAGCGAACAGACGAGGAGCUUGCUCCUCUGACGUUAGCGGCGGACGGGUGAGUAACACGUGGAUAACCUACCUAUAAUACUGGGAUAACUUCGGGAAACCGGAGCUAAUACCGGAUCAUAUAUUGAACCGCAGGGUUCAAUAGUGAAAGACGGUUUUGCUGUCACUUAUAGAUGGAUCCGCGCCGCAUUAGCUAGUUGGUAAGGUAACGGCUUACCAAGGCAACGAUGCGUAGCCGACCUGAGAGGGUGAUCGGCCACACUGGAACUGAGACACGGUCCAGACUCCUACGGGAGGCAGCAGUAGGGAAUCUUCCGCAAUGGGCGCAAGCCUGACGGAGCAACGCCGCGUGAGUGAUGAAGGUCUUCGGAUCGUAAAACUCUGUUAUUAGGGAAGAACAAAUGUGUAAGUAACUAUGCACGUCUUGACGGUACCUAAACAGAAAGCCCCGGCUAACUACGUG